UUUAUCUAAAGAACAGAAAAAAGAAAAAGAAGGGGCUACCUCUAUGCAUAUACUGUAGACAGAGACAGCUAAGUGUUGUAUAAAGUGAUGCAGAUGACAAACCAUUAACAUCGGAGCAGGAGGACGCAGUCUUAGGGAGAAGCGGGAGAAGAAAACUGUGAAGAACUUUCUUCAACAUGGCCACAAAAAUCAAGGAAAGGACUGCUCAUGCAAAACACUACACAGCUGAAGUACCUGCUAGCGAUGAGGUGUACAUGUAGCUGCUUUGAGCUAACCAAGUGAGACUCAGACAUGGUGUUGUCUGGGAAACUAAUGGCCUUGAUGAACAGAAGUGAGCAGGUGGUGACUGAGUCGAGGUACCAAGGGAUUGACUCUCAGGAAACGAGUGAGAAUGGCGCUCAUAUAUUCCGGUUCAAAUUUCUCCACACUGUUGAUAUACCAGACGUCUGGUCCCCUCUUGUGUCCCACCCUCACCAUGCGUGCAUGCAGCUGCUAGGUCAGGUGCUAUCGCCAGUGCUGACACACUGAUGAGUCGGUAGUGAUGGGUGUCCCCCCCUCCAGGGUUCGUAUCGUUGUUGAGGAGGACACUGGACAGUGCCUGUGCCGAGGCAGGUGUUUUGGCAGCAGUUGGUGGGCCUGUGGUACGAUUGUUCCGGCACUUCCGGCUGCAUGGUAGUUACAAUGGGGAAGGCAUGUUGCCGAUUCUUUAGACUGAGUGGGUGUUGCAAUAAUUAUAUCAUGUACAGCUACAACACUUCAAUAUUCAGUAAGCUAGUGUUUCAACUUUGCAUUAUCUUGUAUUUUACAAUGAAUGUUAAUAAU